AGAGUUUGAUCCUGGCUCAGGAUGAACGCUAGCGGCAGGCUUAAUACAUGCAAGGCGAAGGGGCAGCAAUGUCACUGUCGUACGGGUGCGUAACGCGUAUGCAACCUACCUAUCACUGGGGGAUAGCCCGGGGAAACCCGGAUUAAUACCGCAUAAAACAGGGGCACCGCAUGGUGAUAUUUGUUAAAGAUUUAUUGGUGAUAGAUGGGCAUGCGUUCGAUUAGCUAGUUGGCGGGGUAACGGCCCACCAAGGCGACGAUCGAUAGGGGAGCUGAGAGGUUGAUCCCCCACACGGGCACUGAGAUACGGGCCCGACUCCUACGGGAGGCAGCAGUAGGGAAUAUUGGGCAAUGGAUGCAAGUCUGACCCAGCCAUGCCGCGUGCCGGAUGAAGGCCCUCAGGGUUGUAAACGGCUUUUAUUCGGGAAGAAGAGCAGGGAUGCGUCCUUGUGUGACGGUACCGAAUGAAUAAGCACCGGCUAACUCCGUGCCAGCAGCCGCGGUAAUACGGAGGGUGCGAGCGUUGUCCGGAUUUAUUGGGUUUAAAGGGUGCGUAGGUGGCCUGUUAAGUCAGUGGUGAAAUACGGUUGCUCAACAAUCGAGGUGCCAUUGAUACUGACCGGCUUGAAAUAAUUGGAGGCUGCCGGAAUGGAUGGUGUAGCGGUGAAAUGCAUAGAUAUCAUCCAGAACACCGA
rnacentral:rRNA from 1 species